rnacentral:lncRNA from 1 species
AAACAACCAAUCAGCCUCCCUCUCUUCCCCUUCCCGUUGUCGAGCGCGAAGCACAAUCGAGAUCUCAUCGACGAAGUAACGCAUCGGAGGGAUGAGCGUGUGAAUGUCGGUGUUGAAAGCGAAGGCUUCAAGUUUGUCGUUAUCAAGAGAGUUUGACUGACUGCGGAGUAAUGUCGAGCAAGUCGCGAAAGCAGGGUUCGUCAACGAUGAUCGUGAAGGCUAACAAUUGAAAUUAUUAUUAUAU